rnacentral:lncRNA from 1 species
GGUGGAGCACAACGUCGAAAGCAGCCGUUGGGAGCCCAGGAGGCGGGGCGCCUGUGGGAGCCGUGGAGGGAACUUUCCCAGUCCCCGAGGCGGAUCCGGUGUUGCAUCCUUGGAGCGAGCUGAGAGCUCGAGAACCUGCUAAGGCCAUCAAACCUAUUGAUCGGAAGUCAGUCCAUCAGAUUUGCUCUGGGCCGGUGGUACCGAGUCUAAGCACUGCGGUGAAGGAGUUAGUAGAAAACAGUCUGGAUGCUGGUGCCACUAAUAUUGAUCUAAAGCUUAAGGACUAUGGAGUGGAUCUCAUUGAAGUUUCAGGCAAUGGAUGUGGGGUAGAAGAAGAAAACUUCGAAGGCUUAACUCUGAAACAUCACACAUCUAAGAUUCAAGAGUUUGCCGACCUACCUCAGGUUGAAACUUUUGGCUUUCGGGGGGAAGCUCUGAGCUCACUUUGUGCACUGAGAUGCCAGACCUUAGAUUUUAUGAUGACUCCUCAACCGUUUAGAUCUCGGUUAUCUCAGAGGGAUCAUCAGCUUUUUAAGAAAAUUUUGAGAGAAAAGCAAGUGAAGAAAAGAGUAGUCAGUGCCCAACAUCACGGAUCUCUCACUGAACACACCAUGCCUGGUAUUCUCUCACAGUGAUGUCACCAUUUCUACCUGCCAUGUAUCGGCGAAGGUUGGGACUCGACUGGUGUUUGAUCACUAUGGGAAAAUCAUCCAGAAAACCCCCUACCCCCACCCCAGAGGGAUGACAGUCAGUGUGAAGCAGUUAUUUUCUACGCUACCUGUGCACCAUAAAGAAUUUCAAAGGAAUAUUAAGAAGAAACGUGCCUGCUUCCCCUUCGCCUUCUGCCGUGAUUGUCAGUUUCCUGAGGCCUCCCCAGCCAUGCUUCCUGUACAGCCUGCAGAACUGUGAGUCAAUUAAACCUGUUUUCUUCAUAAA